UAUGUGCAGAAAAUGCUUUACUACAAAGCAAACGACGGUUUGAGUUGCAUGCCAUUGUCCCCUAUGAGGGAUCCAUUUUUCCCCAUUGCUGGUUGUUGCUGAAGGGAGUGCUUCGACUGUUAUUGUGGGCUGGCAAUUGGCAGAAUCAGAAAUUACUGCUAAUUACCUUCAAGUUCAGCUGCAUACAUAUUGAGACAAGGAACAGAAGUUUCUGAUGUGGAGUGUGCUUUCAGAAUCAAAUCACUCAGCCAAGAUGAAAUCACAUUUGACUGCAGCAAUCAAGGUUGAAUAGUGGAAGAAAUCAAAUUGCAACAAAUUAAGUUGUGGAUCCAUUCGAAAGAGAUGAGAUGCCAAGUUCAGUUACCUUCAAAUGUAUUUUAAUGGGGUAUAUGACAAUUAGCUCUGGGAGAGAGUGCCAAAAAGAAGCUACUUCUUUAGAUGGGUCUGUUCCGGCUCUGGUUUUGCAUGAUAUUUUGGUGGGAAUUCUUCGACUGCAGGUCAGUCAUGUACUGUGUUCAUUUCUAUCCAUUAAAUCAAAACUAAUGGAUAAUAUAAUCCACGCUAAUUAGCUCCAGAAGAUUGUGGGCUGUGAUGAUAUUACUGUACAUUUGUUUUUUGUUCAUUAUCCUUGGC
rnacentral:misc_RNA from 1 species